rnacentral:misc_RNA from 1 species
CUUCAACGUGAGCAAUUAGGGCUUCAGCGCGAGCAAGUAGGAGGUGGCUAGCGCGAUGACAAGGGGUUGCGUGGGCGGAGAUGCCGACACAGGGGAGAGGUGCACAGGGUAUCCAUGUCGGGGAAGAGGUGUUUGACACUGGAGGACGGCACAUAGGGGCGAGAGCGGCCGGGGGGAAGGAGGCCCCCACAACCAGAGAGACAGCGGAGGACGAGAUGUUCGCAGCGUGAAAGGAGGUCGUCGGAGAGGCCACAGUCGUCGUUGCAGGAAGGGGAGACGGGAGGAAUGGCGCCGAGGGAGCUCUCUGCGUUUAGGAAGAGAGAGAGGCUGGUCCGAUGGUGCCCUGCGCUCGGAGGAGAGAGGGAGCAGGAGGCCGGCGCCAUGGAGGGAGAAGGGGAGCUGCUCGCCUGGGCGCCAUGGAGAGCAGAUCGUACAACAAAUAGGCGGGGGAGGAGGCUCGGCGGUCGUGGCAUAGGGCCACCGGCGCGGGCGCUUGCUUCGGGUGCGCGCUCCAAGGCGGCCGCGGACCAGCGCCUGGCGCGGCGCUCUGAAGCCAGGUGGCGGCGGCCGGCUCCUGGAGGCCAUGGCAGCGCGCAAGCACGACCGGCGCGCAGAGGUGGCGGUCAUGGCGCGGCCGCGGUCGGCCACCACCG